ensembl:lncRNA
CGGGGGGAGCACCGUCCUGACUCCUGCGUGCUACGGUCGCCUAUGCCGAGCGCCAGCAGUAAAAACGAGACAUUAGAAUAGCCUAUAUAGCCUGCAUGCACCUACCCGAUGUCAAGAAGCCAUCGCUGCUCCGACGGACCUUUCUCCCCCAGCCAGGCAACGGCAAUACUGCCAAUUCAUUGAGCCUCUCCUGGCCCAUAGUGGACCUAAGCCACGUAUGAAGUCGGCGUAGAGCACUAAAGGACCGCUCACAGCUGCAACUGCUGACAGGGAUAGUCAGUGCCACCUGCAAGAUGGCCCUCAGUGACGGGAACAUCAUAGAGUCCAGGAGCUUGAAGACACUGAGGGUGUCCGGGAUGGAAUCUGGAUCCUUCCUGCUCAGGAAGCUCUUUGCCACCAAGACCUCUUCUGGGACCAGCUGUAUGUGGUAGUGUGUAGCCAGUUUCUCCAGUGACUGCAGACAGAGGAAGGAUUUGGAGGCUGGGUGGCAUGCCUGGAUUCCAUCCAUUAGCUCUCCCGCAACAGUGGAAAACCGGUGGCCCAGUUCAUUGAUCAUCCGAUCAAUGCACGGGAAGAAAAGCCCCUGCUUCAGACACUCUGAGUCGUUAAGCAGGUCAGAGCCCGACCCAGUAGACGCCUCCACAACAAAAUCAUCCAUUCUCCUCUGCUUUCUCCUUGGAGCAGGAGAGGGCUCGGGAAGGUUGUGAUCAGAGCAGAGCUGCUUUGUGACCUCAUAGAGUUCCUCAGCCACCUGUUCAGUUCUUUGACUGACCAAGGUGUCGUGGAUGGCACUCUUGAAUUGGACUGCCCUUGCAAGGUCAAUGGAUGUCCCCUGCAGGAACCUGUGGAAACCCUCUGUGAUACCCAAAAGCCUUUGGAUAACCACCAGUAAAUAUACUGUUGUCCUCUUUGACAAUUUAGAGAGAAGCCCCACUGCUAUUGGUGUAUUCAGCAUCUGCAGACUAGCAAUUACUGCAGGGAAAUUCCUCAAAAGGGCAUUUAUUGAGUUGACCUGGCAUGACCAUCGCGUUGAGGAUAUCUGGACCAGUUCACGCCGCUCAAUGUUCAGCUCUUUCUGCACAGCCACCAACUGAUCAUGGCUUUUGAUCGAGGUGCUGAAACAGGAAUACAGGCUUUCCAGCAUGUCAAAAAAAAAGCUUGCUUCCGGAAUAGCCUUGCAAGUAUGACAGAGCACCAAGUUCAGCUCAUGUGCAUAGCAGUGCACGUAGAUGGCCUCAGGGUGUUUUUCACGGAAACGAGUUUGCACGCCUCGCACUGACCCGCUCAUCACCGCUGCGCCAUCAUAUGACUGGGCAACAACUUUGAGACCGUCGAUGCCAUGUGAUCCCAGGACCUCCUCAAGGGCAUUUGUUAUGCUCUCCGCGUCAUACCCUCCCAGUCUUCUCAAACAAAGGAAUCGCUCCCUUAUGCGUUCCUGAAAGACGUAACGGACACAAACAGCAAGCUGCUCAGUGUUUCCAUCCUUGGCCUCAUCAGCCAUGAUGGAAAACAUUUUAGCUUCCCUCACCUCAUCCCUUAUCCUUGAUGUGAGCAGUGACGAGGAACACUUAAUGAAGUCAUUUUGGGAGGAAGGUGAAAGAUAGGUGGCAUUAGCAGGAGCAUUAUACUGUUGCAGGAAGGGAUCAAAUUUGGACAACAGCUGAACGCAUUCAAGUAAGUUUCCUUGGUUGGAGCUGCCCUCACCCUCGCAGUGCCCCCUGAAUGCAAUGCCUUGCUUGGCCAAGAAGAGCAUCACAGAAACAACGCGAUGGAGAUACAGUCUUCUUUCUUUGAUCUCCGCUGCACUAGCAGCAAGUAUUUGCUCGGUUACAUCCCCAUGGACCUUGGUUGCCUUUUAACCUAUCCAGGCCAUCAUGGAAGCCUUGUGAAGAGCCGUCUUCUCAUGUUCCCUAAAAGAAUCAAGAGCCCUCUUCCAAUUACAAUAGCCAGUGGUGGCCAGGCCAUCUUUAUUUGACCUCUUCUCCGGUUUGCUGAACACCCGACAGCAAAAACAUAAGGCAGCAUUUUUGGCUACAGAAUAUUCAAGCCAGUUGAAUGAUUCGUACCAGAUCUUUUGGAAUGACCUCUUCUGGAGUCCAAAAUAGGUAGAUGGGAAGUUGAUGUCUUUCACCUGCUUCGGACCUGUGUCUGGACUUCCUAAUGUGCCCUCUCCUGUCCUUCCCUCAUCACUCCUCUCUGGCUCAUCUGUGAUGCAACAAAAUUAAGAAGCAAACUGACACUCGGACAGUCUAUGCUGUGAUAGUAGCACUUCUAAAGGUAGAGGAGCCAUGUCAGGUAACCUUUUGACCCAGAAAAUAUACACAACUAGCUGUGCAAAAUAGACAUUUUGGUGAGGAUCUCGGAGGUGACCAUGUGAGAACAAAAAAAAUGACGACAGGUCCAACAAACAGGAUUUUAGGACCAAGACAGUCAAUGGUGCCUCGUCUUUGAACCAUGACGGUCAACAUGACACUGUUGGCCGCUUGAGGACAACACUCCCCGUAACUGAAAAUGUACAAAGGUGAAAAUGUACAUGUAAUGUGCUCUAGAUAGAUGGACGCUUUACGGGCUAAUUCAAUUUGGCCCUCCAAUCUUCGUGUUUCUGCCUAAUCCAUCCAUACAGUUAAGUGCAAGAUGCACACACCCAGGUGCUUGCCUGGUAAAGAAAAACUAAUCAGAGGGAAACAAAAGAAAGACCUGCACACAUUCUAAAAACCUCCCACAAAUCUUAAUUUCACAACAUUUCCAUCAGGAUCUCAUUUGCUCUGUGAUUUUAAGGAAGAUCCUAAGUGAUUGAAAUGUUAGGAUUUGUGGGAGCAGCAAGAAUGUGUGCAGGUCUUUCUUUUUCUUCUUUCUUAUUCUUAAAACUCUGCCUCUUGAUCUCAAGCAGGCGUGUGUUGAAUGAUACAAUGAAUGUGAUUGUGAAUGUUACAAUACGUUGUGUUGCUUUAGAUCACUGAAGCUUAAUUUAAAUAAUGAGGGUUAAAAAUAAUCUUCCCAGACUGUUUCUGUUACUUGCUUAUGCUGUAGGCAAGUUGUGUAAGAAGCUUAUCUCUAUAUAAAUCUGAGCUGUACAUGAAUCUGUUAAUGAAGUCUCAUUUCGACUCCUUCCUCCACUUCACUAUUCAUGUUCUGUUGCUUGCAGUUAACUACAGCCGCCCUUCCUGGGUAAUGCCACCACCAAUCCCUGGUCAUCCAUUGAAGCCAUCUCUCUCACUCUGUACAGUCACACUGUUUCUCUUAGGUAAAAUCAAACCAGUGGGAUGUUAGAUUGAAAACCUCCAAAGC